AUGAACGCUAGCUACAGGCUUAACACAUGCAAGUCGAGGGGCAGCAUGGUCUUAGCUUGCUAAGGCCGAUGGCGACCAGCGCACGGGUGAGUAACACGUAUCCAACCUGCCGUCUACUCUUGGACAGCCUUCUGAAAGGAAGAUUAAUACAAGAUGGCAUCAUGAGUCCGCAUGUUCACAUGAUUAAAGGUAUUCCGGUAGACGAUGGGGAUGCGUUCCAUUAGAUAGUAGGCGGGGUAACGGCCCACCUAGUCUUCGAUGGAUAGGGGUUCUGAGAGGAAGGUCCCCCACAUUGGAACUGAGACACGGUCCAAACUCCUACGGGAGGCAGCAGUGAGGAAUAUUAGUCAAUGGGCGAGAGCCUGAACCAGCCAAGUAGCGUGAAGGAUGACUGCCCUAUGGGUUGUAAACUUCUUUUAUAAAGGAAUAAAGUCGGGUAUGGAUACCCGUUUGCAUGUACUUUAUGAAUAAGGAUCGGCUAACUCCGUGCCAGCAGCCGCGGUAAUACGGAGGAUUCGAGCGUUAUCCGGAUUUAUUGGGUUUAAAGGGAGCGUAGAUGGAUGUUUAAGUCAGUUGUGAAAGUUUGCGGCUCAACCGUAAAAUUGCAGUUGAUACUGGAUAUCUUGAGUGCAGUUGAGGCAGGCGGAAUUCGUGGUGUAGCGGUGAAAUGCUUAGAUAUCACGAAGAACUCCGAUUGCGAAGGCAGCCUGCUAAGCUGCAACUGACAUUGAGGCUCGAAAGUGUGGGUAUCAAACAGGAUUAGAUACCCUGGUAGUCCACACGGUAAACGAUGAAUACUCGCUGUUUGCGAUAUACUGCAAGCGGCCAAGCGAAAGCGUUAAGUAUUCCACCUGGGGAGUACGCCGGCAACGGUGAAACUCAAAGGAAUUGACGGGGGCCCGCACAAGCGGAGGAACAUGUGGUUUAAUUCGAUGAUACGCGAGGAACCUUACCCGGGCUUAAAUUGCAGAUGAAUUACGGUGAAAGCCGUAAGCCGCAAGGCAUCUGUGAAGGUGCUGCAUGGUUGUCGUCAGCUCGUGCCGUGAGGUGUCGGCUUAAGUGCCAUAACGAGCGCAACCCUUGUUGUCAGUUACUAACAGGUUCCGCUGAGGACUCUGACAAGACUGCCAUCGUAAGAUGUGAGGAAGGUGGGGAUGACGUCAAAUCAGCACGGCCCUUACGUCCGGGGCUACACACGUGUUACAAUGGGGGGUACAGAGGGCCGCUACCACGCGAGUGGAUGCCAAUCCCCAAAACCUCUCUCAGUUCGGACUGGAGUCUGCAACCCGACUCCACGAAGCUGGAUUCGCUAGUAAUCGCGCAUCAGCCACGGCGCGGUGAAUACGUUCCCGGGCCUUGUACACACCGCCCGUCAAGCCAUGGGAGCCGGGGGUACCUGAAGUGCGUAACCGCGAGGAGCGCCCUAGGGUAAAACUGGUGACUGGGGCU
rnacentral:rRNA from 1 species